ensembl:lncRNA
AAAAAUCUGAGUGGCUGGUAUAUUUUUUUUAUCUACCUGCCACAAUGGCUGGUGGACCAAAAAUACAAUUGUAUGCCCUGCUCCCCUUCCUUGCCAAGACUGGAAUGGACUGCUCUCUCCCAAUUCCAAACCCACCUGCUAAUCGAGCCCUUCCAGUCUGGUUUCCGCCUCCUCCGCAGUGCUGAAACUGCACUCCUCAAAGUUGUCAAUGACCUCCUCACCUCUGCUGAUGCCGGUGCCCAUCCUGAUUCUUCUCCAUCUAAGUUCCCGCCUUUGACACAGUGAGCCAUCAGAUCCUCCUCACCAGGUAACCUUGGCGUCAGCCUGGACUCUACCCUCUUCCACCUCUGCAACAUUGCCAAAGUCAAGACCUCCCUCUCCCGUGGGGGAUUAAGUGCCUUGCUCAAGGGCAGAACGUCAGGCAGUGGCCCAUAGGAUUAGAACUGGCUCGCCUCUAUCCGCUAGGCUACCUGCCGCACCAACCUACAAGCUCACUCCGUUCCACCACAGCAGGCCACCUUGACAUCCCCAGGUCCAAGCUCCAGAGCUUUGGCGACAGGGCCUUUUCCAGGGUUGCUCCUAGGCUCUGGAACUCCCUCCCUCCAGCCAUCCGUGAAUCUGAGUGCAUCACAGUCUUUCAGUCCCACCUCAUCUCUCUCUCUUUCAACAAGCAAACAGCUUUUCUCCAUGGGCUGCUCAUUCUUCCCCUUCGCUUAGUCAGUCUCACAAUUGCAGUAUAAACAUUCCUUUCUUUGGUCUGUGGAGCCCACUCUAAAAGAGACCCUUUAAUAGGUGCUGGAUAAAGGGCACUCAUGCCAGGGAAGCACAGCCUCCCCCUCCUUCCCACAGAUGAGGGGGCCCUAUAAUGAGAAGGCCAGUGAUAAACAAGACAGAGGGUCAGUCGCUAAGACAAUUAUAGGCAUCUCAAAUUAAAAUAGCUCCUUCUCGAAGGUUGGGUACGGGAUAGGCCUCCCCUAUCAGCCCUCAUCCCAGCCACAGAGCUCUUGUAGGGGCUCAACAAUGCCCAUGAUAUGAUCCCUACUGAGUAUGAG